rnacentral:rRNA from 1 species
GACAGAGGCCACGAGCGUUAGGCGGAAUCACUGGGCUUAAAGCGUGUGUAGGCGGACCGUUAAGUGCCCGCGUGAAAUCCCCCGGCUCAACCGGGGAACGGCCGGGCAGACUGGCGGUCUUGGGCCACCCAGGGGCGACUGGAACAAGCGGUGGAGCGGUGAAAUGCGUAGAUAUCGCUUGGAACGCCCGCGGUGAAAACGGGUCGCUGGGGGUGUGCCGACGCUGAGACACGAAAGCCAGGGGAGCGAACGGG